rnacentral:sRNA from 1 species
CAUAAUAUGCCGAAGACAGUAGGUGCCGUAAGGCGUAACCAUGUGGCCUACCGAGGGAAUCUUUCGAUGAGUAAUCAUCAUUAAGAAUGAUUUUAGGACCUCUCUGUUUUCGGACGGAGAGGUUUUUU